AGGUGGGGCUGAUGACUGGGGUGAAGUCGUAACAAGGUAGCCGUACCGGAAGGUGCGGCUGGAUCACCUCCUAA
rnacentral:rRNA from 1 species